GAUGAACGCUGGCGGCGUGCCUAAUACAUGCAAGUCGAGCGAACGGACGAGAAGCUUGCUUCUCUGAUGUUAGCGGCGGACGGGUGAGUAACACGUGGAUAACCUACCUAUAAGACUGGGAUAACUUCGGGAAACCGGAGCUAAUACCGGAUAAUAUUUUGAACCGCAUGAUUCAAAAGUGAAAGACGGUCUUGCUGUCACUUAUAGAUGGAUCCGCGCUGCAUUAGCUAGUUGGUAAGGUAACGGCUUACCAAGGCAACGAUGCAUAGCCGACCUGAGAGGGUGAUCGGCCACGCUGGAACUGAGACACGGUCCAGACUCCUACGGGAGGCAGCAGUAGGGAAUCUUCCGCAAUGGGCGAAAGCCUGACGGAGCAACGCCGCGUGAGUGAUGAAGGUCUUCGGAUCGUAAAACUCUGUUAUUAGGGAAGAACAUAUGUGUAAGUAACUGUGCACAUCUUGACGGUACCUAAUCAGAAAGCCACGGCUAACUACGUG
rnacentral:rRNA from 1 species